ACUGGAAUUCAUCAUUUUCUCAUCAACCAAACAGAAAAUUUCAGCCCAGAAAGCUUGAUUCUUUUCGUCGUUUUCUUCGAGGAUAUUCCGUCACCGCCAUCGGCUUCUUCCUCUAAGAAGAUCCGGCGCUGGUCGCCGUCAUCUCCUUCUUCUGUUCGUCCGCUAUCUGCUCUCAAUCACCUCCAAGCUCUCUUUCCUCGUAUGGACUUCGAGCUUCUGGAGAAUGCGGCAAUGAUAUAGACUCGGCUGUCAAGAGGCUGCAGGAACUUUGCUUAGGAGCGCCAGAGGCUAGAGGAGGAAAGACAUGUCUUGUUGAGGAAACGGGCACAACUGCCGAGCAGGGUAUAUUGACAAAUGAUGGAGAGGCUGCUGCUGCUGCUGUGACCGUUCAGAAUCCACCAGCCUCCGAAAAUUUGCCUGUUGAUGGUGCUGUUUGGGUGGGCUUGUUUGUGAGGGAGAUGAUGAGUGCUACAAGUAUGGAUGAUGCCAAAUCCUGUGCCUCUAUAUUGCUGGCGAUUUUGGAGAAUUCCAUAAGUAAACAGGCUGCUGAAGGGACAGCAUAAAGUUUUCACAAGGAAAAUAUCUUGUUAAAAGAACAAAUUGAAGCAUUGAUCCUAGAAAACACGGUCUUCAAACGUGCUGUUAUAUCCAACACGAACGACAAAAGGAGUAUCAGGAUAAAAACCAAGAGUUGCAACAUUUGAAGCAAUUGGUUUCACAGUAUCAGGAGCAGCUGCGGACUUUAGAGGUAAAAUAACUAUGCAUUGAUGAUGCAUUUGAAACAAGCACACUCAAGCAUAUAAUUAGCUUCUUAAUCUGUUUGCUUUUGUUGGUAUACUUGUGAAGAAUUAUGGUGCUUUGGUAAGGUGAUUUCGUUUAGAACCACUUCUCAGUUUGUUAAAUGAAAACACUUAUCAGUUUCAUA